rnacentral:rRNA from 1 species
UACGAAGGGGGCUAGCGUUGUUCGGAAUUACUGGGCGUAAAGGGCGCGUAGGCGGCCAACUAAGUCAGACGUGAAAUCCCUCGGCUUAACCGGGGAACUGCGUCUGAUACUGGAUGGCUUGAAUCCGGGAGAGGGAUGCAGAAUUCCAGGUGUAGCGGUGAAAUGCGUAGAUAUCAGGAGGAACACCGGUGGCGAAGGCGGGUCUCUGGGCAACAACUGACGCUGAGGAGCGAAAGCGUGGGGAGCGAACAGG